UACGGAGGGUGCGAGCGUUAAUCGGAAUCACUGGGCGUAAAGCGCGCGUAGGCGGCUUUUCAAGUCAGGGGUGAAAUCCCACGGCCCAACCGUGGAACUGCCUUUGAAACUGUAGAGCUUGAGUGUCGGAGAGGGUGGCGGAAUUCCAGGUGUAGGAGUGAAAUCCGUAGAUAUCUGGAGGAACACCGGUGGCGAAGGCGGCCACCUGGACGACAACUGACGCUGAGGUGCGAAGCGUGGGUAGCAAACAGG
rnacentral:rRNA from 1 species